rnacentral:tRNA from 1 species
GAGGGUAUAGCUCAAGUGGUAGAGGGCAUGCUUAGCAUGCACAAGGUCCUGGGUUCAAUCCCUAGUACCUCCA